rnacentral:rRNA from 1 species
UACGAAGGGUGCAAACGUUGCUCGGAAUUAUUGGGCGUAAAGCGCACGUAGGCGGCAUUGCAAGUCGGAUGUGAAAUCUUAUGGCUUAACCAUAAAAGUGCAUCCGAAACUGCAGUGCUUGAGUACUUAAGAGGAUCGCGGAAUUCCCGGUGUAGAGGUGAAAUUCGUAGAUAUCGGGAGGAACACCAGUGGCGAAGGCGGCUCUCUGGGACGGUACUGACGCUGAGACGCGAAAGCGUGGGGAGCGAACAGG